rnacentral:rRNA from 1 species
AGAUUGAACGCUAGCGGGAUGCUUUACACAUGCAAGUCGAACGGCAGCGCGGACUUCGGUCUGGCGGCGAGUGGCGAACGGGUGAGUAAUAUAUCGGAACGUGCCCAGUAGCGGGGGAUAACUACGCGAAAGCGUGGCUAAUACCGCAUACGCCCUACGGGGGAAAGGGGGGGAUUCUUCGGAACCUCUCACUAUUGGAGCGGUCCGAGUAUCAGAUUAGCUAGUUGGUGAGGUAAAGGCUCACCAAGGCGACGAUCUGUAGCUGGUUUGAGAGGACGACCAGCCACACGUGGGACUGAGACACGGCCCAGACCUCCGUACGGGAGGCAGCGAGGUGGGAAUUUGGACAGU